rnacentral:rRNA from 1 species
UACGGGGGGGGGCAAGCUUGUUCGGAAUUACUGGGCGUAAAGGGCGCGUAGGCGGCCCUGCUAAGUCGGAUGUGAAAUCCCCUCGGCUCAACCGAGGAACUGCAUCCGAUACUGCCGGGCUUGAAUCCGGGAGAGGGAUGUGGAAUUCCAGGUGUAGCGGUGAAAUGCGUAGAUAUCUGGAGGAACACCGGUGGCGAAGGCGGCAUCCUGGACCGGUAUUGACGCUGAGGCGCGAAAGCUAGGGGAGCAAACGGG